rnacentral:rRNA from 1 species
GAUGAACGCUGGCGGCGUGCCUAAUACAUGCAAGUCGAGCGAACAGACGAGGAGCUUGCUCCUCUGACGUGAGCGGCGGACGGGAGAGUAACACGUGGAUAACCUACCUAUAAGACUGGGAUAACUUCGGGAAACCGGCUCUAAUACCGGAUAAUAUAUUGAACCGCAUGGUUCAAUAGUGAAAGACGGUUUUGCUGUCACUUAUAGAUGGAUCCGCGCCGCAUUAGCUAGUUGGUAAGGUAACGGCUUACCAAGGCAAGGAUGCGUAGCCGACGGGAGGGACGGAUAGGCCACCUUGGAACUGAGACACCGUCCAGGGUCCUACGGGAGGCACCAGUAGGCAACCUGCGGCAGUGGGCGAAAGCAUUGCGGAACAGCCCCAAGUGAGAGACAGAGGCCUUGGGAUCGUAAAGCUCUGUUAUUAGGGAAGAACAAAUGUGGACGUAACUAUGCACGGAUUGACGGUACCUAAUCAGAAAGCCCCGGCUAACUACGUG